GACGAACGCUGGCGGCGUGCUUAACACAUGCAAGUCGAACGGAAAGGCCCUGCUUUUGUGGGGUGCUCGAGUGGCGAACGGGUGAGUAACACGUGAGUAACCUGCCCUUGACUUUGGGAUAACUUCAGGAAACUGGGGCUAAUACCGGAUAGGAGCUCCUGCUGCAUGGUGGGGGUUGGAAAGUUUCGGCGGUUGGGGAUGGACUCGCGGCUUAUCAGCUUGUUGGUGGGGUAGUGGCUUACCAAGGCUUUGACGGGUAGCCGGCCUGAGAGGGUGACCGGCCACAUUGGGACUGAGAUACGGCCCAGACUCCUACGGGAGGGAGAAGUGGGGAAUAUUGCACAAUGGGCGGAAGCCUGAUGCAGCAACGCCGCGUGCGGGAUGACGGCCUUCGGGUUGUAAACCGCUUUCGCCUGUGACGAAGCGUGAGUGACGGUAAUGGGGAAAGAAACACCGGCAAACUACGU
rnacentral:rRNA from 1 species